GUUAACGCUGGCGGCGUGCCUAACACAUGCAAGUCGAGCGAAGAGUACCAGAGUACCGGGCUCUUAGCGGCAGACGGGUGAGUAACACGUAAACAAUCUGCCCUCGAAUGGGAGACAACCAAGCGAAAGUUUGGCUAAUACCCCAUACAAUCCUCUUGAGGCAUCUCAAGGGGAUGAAAGGCCCGCAAGGGUCGUUCGAGGAGGAGUUUGCGGCCUAUCAGCUAGUUGGCGGUGUAACAGACCACCAAGGCUAUGACGGGUAUCCGAUCUAAAAGGAUGAACGGACACAAGGGCACUGAGACACGGGCCCUACUCCUACGGGAGGCAGCAGUGGGGAAUUUUGGACAAUGGACGAAAGUCUGAUCCAGCGACGCCGCGUGAAGGACGAAGGUUUUCGGAUCGUAAACUUCUUUUAUAUGUCAAGAAAAUGACGGUAGCAUAUGAAUAAGCACCGGCUAACUCCGU
rnacentral:rRNA from 1 species